UACGUAGGGUGCAAGCGUUAAUCGGAAUUACUGGGCGUAAAGCGUGCGCAGGCGGUUUUGUAAGUCUGACGUGAAAUCCCCGGGCUCAACCUGGGAAUUGCGUUGGAGACUGCAAGGCUAGAAUCUGGCAGAGGGGGGUAGAAUUCCACGUGUAGCAGUGAAAUGCGUAGAGAUGUGGAGGAAUACCGAUGGCGAAGGCAGCCCCCUGGGAUAACACUGACGCUCAUGCACGAAAGCGUGGGGAGCAAACAGG
rnacentral:rRNA from 1 species